GUCCCUGUCGAUUAGUGGUUAAAUCAUGACGUUGUGGAUCCUUUCCCACAGAACCGUCAAGCCGCCGGCUCGAAUCCGGCCAGGGACA